GCAAGUUUUAGCUAUAAAAUGACAAUAAUAUUUCACAUAAAAUGGUUACUAUUAAUUGUUACUACCACUUCCUACUUAGUGAUUUAUGUAAUAAGCUAUGCCCCAAACCUACCAGGUUUAACUCUUGGAAUUUGGUGUGAACUGAAUUGUAUUCCCCUCAAAUUCGUUUAUUGAAACACUAAUGUGCUGACAUUAGAAGGCGAGGCAUUUGGGAGGUAAUUAGGUCACGAAGGUAGAAUCCUCAUGAUGGGAUUAAUGUCCUUAUUAGAACAGACUCAAGAGAAAUUUUACUCUUUGCCAUGAGAAGACACAUAAAAAAAAAAAAAAAGAUGAAGUCUGCAAGCCAGGAAGCAAGCUCCCACCAAGAACUGAGUCAGCCAGCACCUUGUUCUUGAAUUUCCCAGCCUCCAGAACUGUGAGAAAUAAAUAUUAGUAGUUCAAGUCACCCAGACGGUGAUAUUUUUGGAUAUUUUGUGACAGCAGCCCAUACAAACCAAGGCUAUCAUCAAGCAAACAAUUCGGAAGUUCACAAUUUUUUUUCUGUCAAGUAUGUGGUGUUCGCAAAUUGAAAGCAUCUUGGAUUUCAGACUUGGGUGAAAUGUCCUACCAGACGGUAUGAUAUUUAGUAGCCCAGAAAGCUGCCAAGGAGUUGAAUGACACUAUCUGAAGAUAAUGAGCCAGUUUGCUGUCCACAGGGAGGAUUUCAUCAGUGGGAAACAGAUGCCUGGAAGACAUUAGAUUUGCUAAGUGUCUAUGCCAUAUGAUUCUGCUGUUUGCUUCUGAUUUAGAAUGCUGAGCUGACUCAAAAUCAAACUGUAAAUACGGCC